rnacentral:RNase_P_RNA from 1 species
UUAGAAGAACAAGUGAUCGUCGGCCGAAAGGCGGGAGGAAAGUCCGAGCUCCACAGGGCUGGGUGCCGGGUAAUACCCGGUGAGGGUGACCUCAAGGAAAGUGCCACAGAAAGUAUACCGCGUCCCCCGGCCUGGCCGGGGCCGUAAGGGUGAAAUGGUGGGGUAAGAGCCCACCGCGCUGCCAGCAAUGGUGGCGGCAUGGCAAACCCCACUCGGAGCAAAGCCGCAUAGAAGGACAAAGUGCCGCAGCGCGGCACGAGAAGAUGGCCCGUCUGAUGUCCUCGGGUUGGCUGCUGUGACGGGCCCCGGCAACGGGCUCGCUAGAUGAAUGAUCACUGCCGGAUCGUCGGGCGACCGACGCCGGAACAGAACUCGGCUUAUGGGCUUCUAAGACC